CUCAGAAUCAACGCUGGCGGCGUGCCUAACACAUGCAAGUCGAACGAGAAAGUGGGGGCAACUCCACAAGUAAAGUGGCAGACGGGUGAGUAACACGUGAACAACCUACCCUCGAGUGUGGAAUAACACCGCGAAAGCGGUGCUAAUACCGCAUAACAUCUUCGGAUCGCAUGAUCUGGAGAUCAAAAGCGAAAGUUGCUUGAGGAGGGGUUCGCGCCUGAUUAGCUAGUUGGUGAGGUAACGGCCCACCAAGGCUGCGAUCAGUAGCCGGCCUGAGAGGGCGAACGGCCACACUGGAACUGAGACACGGUCCAGACUCCUACGGGAGGCAGCAGUGGGGAAUUUUGCGCAAUGGGCGAAAGCCUGACGCAGCAACGCCGCGUGGAGGAUGAAGGCCUUCGGGUCGUAAACUCCUGUCAGUGGGGACGAAUGCUUCGCAAGAAGUUUGACUGUACCCGCUGAGGAAGCCACGGCUAACUCCGUGCCAGCAGCCGCGGUAAUACGGAGGUGGCAAGCGUUGUUCGGAAUUACUGGGCGUAAAGGGCGCGUAGGCGGCAUGGCAAGUCAGAUGUGAAAGCCCCGGGCUUAACUCGGGAAUUGCAUCUGAAACUGCUUUGCUUGAGUCCUGGAUGGGAUAGUGGAAUUCCCAGUGUAGCGGUGAAAUGCGUAGAUAUUGGGAGGAACACCUGCGGCGAAGGCGGCUAUCUGGACAGUGACUGACGCUGAGGCGCGAAAGCUAGGGGAGCGAACGGGAUUAGAUACCCCGGUAGUCCUAGCCGUAAACGAUGGGCACUUGGUGUUGGGGGUAUUGAGUCCCUCGGUGCCGGAGUUAACACGUUAAGUGCCCCGCCUGGGGAGUACGGUCGCAAGACUGAAACUCAAAU
rnacentral:rRNA from 1 species